rnacentral:rRNA from 1 species
GACGAACGCUGGCGGCGUGCUUAACACAUGCAAGUCGAGCGGUAAGGCCCUUUCGGGGGUACACGAGCGGCGAACGGGUGGGUAACACGUGGGUGACCUGCCCUCAGCUCUGGGAUAAGCCUGGGAAACCGGGUCUAAUACUGGAUAUGACUCCAUGACGCAUGUUGUGGGGUGAAAGCCUUGUGCGGCUGAGGAUGGGCCCGCGGCCUAUCAG